rnacentral:rRNA from 1 species
UACGUAGGCAGCGAGCGUUGUUCGGAAUUACUGGGCGUAAAGAAUGUGUAGGCGGUGUUCCAAGUUCGGUGUGAAAUCUCCCGGCUUAACUGGGAGGGUGCGCCGAAAACUGGAAUGCUCGAGCGUGGGAGAGGAAAGCGGAAUCCUGGUGUAGCGGUGAAAUGCGUAGAUAUCAGGAGGAACACCAGCGGUGUAGACGGCUUUCUGGACCAUUGCUGACGCUGAGACACGAAAGCGUGGGUAGCAAACAGG